CUCAGAUUUCAGUGCGUUCACGACACUUGGCACUUCAGGGCAAAAAACGCGCUCCGACUGAUAAAAAAAAUCGUUUUGAACGGUCAUCCAACUCGGCAUUUCAAAAUGGAUACUCUUAUAUAUUUCUAGAGCGACCGACUUUUCCGACCUGAAGAUCACUGACGUCAUGAUUCGACCUCGUCCCCCCCCACGAGUUUCCAGUUGUCUUUAAAGUACCAUGAGACAGCAAACCCCUCGGUGACCGCCAGAAUGAGUGAUCACCCAUCAUCAAGUGUAAAUCCGUAGACAACUGAUUCGGGAUUUCUAUUACCGCAUAUACAGUAAUAUGAGUUCAUAAAUAAAUAUAUAUAUUUGAGAUGUUUUCACUAUUUUGUAGCUAGAGGUCGCUGAACGGUUGCAUCAUCUUUGUUCCGUGAAUGAGGCGCUGUCUGAUCUGGAGCCGCAAAAACAGGAUGACAAUUCAGGUUACCUUGGUGACAGCCAGUAGUAACUGACUGAUUAUGGUACAAGAAGUUUUGGCCCAACAUCACAGGGCUGGAUGGAUGGAUAGCUCAGACCUGGCUAGACAUAGUGACAGACAACCUUGGGGAGAAGAAUGGUGUGGAGUCAGCUGUAUGAGGUGGCAACAUGCAUCUCUGUGUGCCUGACAGACAUAUCAGCUUGGAUGUCAUCCCACCACCUCAAGCUCAACAAGACAGAGCUGCUCUUCCUCCCAGUCAAAGCCCGCCCCAAGACCUCUCCAUCCCAGUUGACAACUCCAUGGUGUCCCUCUCCCAGAGUUCAAAAAGCCUUGAUAUGGUGCGUUUGGGCUCACAUUAAAUACCUUACCAAAGAUGAGGCGGAGGAACAGAGGGAGUGAAAACGACAGAACACUGAUAUGGCGUCAGGAACUCCUACUUCGCUGUACACCCGAAAAACAACCACAUUCAAAUUAAAACCCAAGGUUUGAUUUUAAACGAGCCCUAAAAGACAGUGAAUAACUUCUGAAUUGAAGUACACAUCCUCUGUGAUUUCACUCUUUCUGUGCACUUAGCAAAAUAAAUAAUAUGUGGUUGCACCACUUGAAUAUUCACGUUAACUUGAGACUUUUAAAGGACUGUAUUUAUACCAAAUUUAUUGAAAGUCGUGUUUAUUAUUUUUUUAAUAAACUGGUUUCAAAGUAUUUGUACCUGGUUCUAACUUGCGUUCUUUGUUCUGAUCUUGUCCACAUUCUGAUUGUGAUCAGAUCCUCCUGACAUGUUUGUUGACCGGUAUGGACAAUUAAAAGACACUGAAUGUUAUCUGAUCUUCCUGACCACCUUCGGAGGUAGUCACACGCAUUGUGAUCUGGACAGAGAAACCAUUUUUACUGAACAAAAAAAAAUUAUAUUUACUCAGUUACAGUUCAUAUAAAAGGAAAAAAUCAGUCAACUGAAAUAAAUUCAUUAAAAAUAAAUCUAUGGAUUUCACAUGACUGGGCAGGGGCGCAGUCAUGGGUGGGCUUAGAAGGUCAGAGGCCCACCCACUAGAAUACAUGUUUGUUUUUUUCCCCCACAAAAAAGGGCUUUACGACAGACAGAAAUGCUCUUCAGUUUCAUCAUCUGUCCGGGUGGCUCUCAGAUAAUGAAGCCGGGGAAAAAAAUAAUAAUGUCUUGGCUAUUUUAUUUCAGCUUAUGAAACCAACACUUUACAUGUUUAAUAGAUUGUUGAUUCAGUAUAAAAAUCAUAAUUAUUCCACCCACUAAAUUCACUGACAAGUGGCACCAUUGACAAUAAAUACAAAAUUAUUUUGGAAAGGUUGGCUGUGAAAUUAUUUGCAUAAAAGGGGAAGGGACAAGGAAAUCUGUUCACAACAUUUCACCAAAUCACAUGACAAGUAUGACUGGAGGCACAACCUGUUUGAUAAAGCAUGACUGGAGGCACAACCUGUUUGAUAAAGCAUGACUGGAGGCACAACCUGUUUGAUAAAGCAUGACUGGAGGCACAACCUGUUUGAUAAAGCAUGACUGGAGGCACAACCUGUUUGAGAAAGCAUGACUGGAGGCACAACCUGUUUGAGAAAGCAUGACUGGAGGCACAACCUGUUUGAUAAAGCAUACAGAGCUGUAUUUUUGAUAUUGUAACGUAACGAGUAAAUAAAGAGUUGUGGACUGGA